AUUAAUGUCAAAGGUCAGAUCUCUCAAAUUUUAUGCACGCUUCAUUGAUUUUUAUCGUGGUUGCAAGCUUCGGUUCUUUGUAGUUCCUGUCAUCUUUGUUAUUUCAAGAUGUCCGGGAGGGUAAAACGAAAACCAGAGAAACUUGUUGAAGACGACGAGGUGGCAUCACCAAGUCCCGCCCCCUCAGGAACCCCAGGGGGCGGAGCUAAGGGCGGCAAGGGUAAGGGGGGUGGACCGGGAGGUAAGAGAGCUCACAGGAGCUGUGAGAAGUCUCGCUGUCCGGAAAAGACGCCGCUGUGCUCCAUAAAUGCCCACGACAGGUGCGCUGGUAGUGGUUACACAAGCCGAUGGUACCAUUUGUCAUCAGGGGAACAUUACUGCAAUGAAUGCUUCGACUACUUCUAUAGAAGCCACCGUGUCGGCUUUGAGCAGGUGGCCCGUUGGAAGCGAGAGUGGAGUUGCACCGGCAAGACCGAACCAAACCUGCGUACCUUCAUGGUGGACCAGUUACUCCCCUACUGGCUUCAGUGCACCAAGCCGGACUGCGGCAAAUGGCGCUCCCUACCCAGUGGUCAAGAAAUCAACACCGAAGCCAUCAGACAGUUCACGUGUGCCGUCGGCAGAACAGCUGAUGCUGGAGAAGGGGAAACUGCCAACCCUUGCGAUGUAGAGGAAGACAUCCGAGUCCAGAAGACCCUGCAACCAGAAUGGCUGGAGACGUUACUCUUUCCUCCUCUUCUCAAGAACUCCCCCGCUGCCCCGUUCCUGGCUUCCUACUUCCCGGACGGCGUGGGGCUCAGCGCUACGUGUGAGCUAGUCAAAAAGAAACCAGGAGAAAGGCAUUCCUACAGUGGCACUUCCAACAUACCAGUUACGGGUGUCAGCCCCUACUUCCAACCCUUCUACCAGCCCGAUGAGCAGGGUAAGGCGAUGUGCGUCCGGCCAGACAUGAUGGAACACGAUGAGAUUCAGGAAUUCCCUGAAUUCACCAAGGAACAACAGAUGUAUCUGGCGCUGAGGAACCUGGUCAUUGCACUCUGGAGCACAAGCUGCAAGGAGUUUUUGACGGUAGAGAAGUGCAUACAUCACCUCAUAGUCCGCGGUCUGAUUAGAAUCCGCUGCGUUCAGCUGUUGGUUCCCGUCAUCCACUUCUUAUCACGGAAAGGUCUCAUCAAUACGGGGCUGCUGAGAGAUCCUGUAGGAGGAUCAUUGUUACCUCCGGAGUUUAACCAGGGUCCAGUGGUCAUCAUCGGAGCUGGCCCCGCGGGCCUAGCUGCAGCCCGUCAGCUGACCAACUUUGGCUGUCAGGUGACCGUCUUAGAAGCCAGGGAUAGAAUUGGAGGUCGUGUCUGGGAUGACGAUAGUCUUGGUGUCUGCGUAGCUAAAGGAGCACAGACAGUCAACGGGUGUAUCAACAAUCCUAUCUCGUUAAUGUGCGAACAGGCGGGACUGAAGAUGAAGCUGAUUCAGGAUCGCUGCCACCUCUUGGAAGGAGACGGUCAACUGAUUGACGCUUCCCUAGAUCGGCGCGUUGAUUUCCACUUCAAUGCCAUGCUGGAUGCCAUAGCUGAAUGGCGGAAAGAUAAGACGCACACCAGCGAUGUCGCACUGGGAAGGAAGCUUUUUGAGAUGCACCGAAUCUUCAUGGAGGAGACGAGCCUGACCUUCACACCGACAGAGAACAGAUUGCUACAGUUCCAUAUCAGCAACCUAGAGUAUGCAUGCGGCUGCAAUCUAUCCAAGGUGUCUUCGCUACACUGGGAUCAGAAUGAAACCUUUGCCCAGUUUGCCGGUGACCACACCCUCCUGCCUGACGGCUACUCAGCCAUCUUCAGCCAGCUAGCCGAGGGACUGGACAUCAGGCUGGGUCAAGCAGUUGUCAGUGUGGACUACUCGAGCAAGACUACGGUGGUCACAACCAGCGACGGAAAGGAGUAUAAAGCAGCCAAAGUUCUUGUGACAGUUCCCCUGGCCAUACUGCAGCAGGGAUUGAUUGACUUCCAUCCUCCGUUGCCCGUCAACAAACAGAAAGCUCUUCAGACUCUAGGAGCCGGAACCAGUGAAAAGAUUGGCAUGCGAUUUCCUCGGAGCUUCUGGGCCAAGAAGACUGCAGGGGCGGAUUACUUUGGCCACACCCCCUCCGUGGAGGACAGACGAGGCUACUUCAGUGUCUUCUAUGACAUGACGCCAAAUAGUAAAGAAAGCCACGUCCUGAUGACAGUACUCAGCGGUGACGCUGUGGAGAAGACCAAAGAUCUCACAGAUGAGCAGAUCAUCGCAGACUGCAUGGAAUGCCUGAGAGGACUAUUCCCUGAAGAGGUAAUUAAUUAUGCAUGCUAGGUCAAAGGUCAAUAAAGAGGUCACUGCCAUUCAGAAAAAGCAAAGAUCUCACAGAUGAGCAGAUCAUCGCAGACUGCAUGGAAUGCCUGAGAGGACUAUUCCCUGAAGAGGAUGUUCCUGAGCCGACGAGUUAUUUUGUGACUCAUUGGUCCAAGGACCCGUACGCUCAGAUGGCGUACAGCUACGUCAAGACCAGCGGGCACGGGGAAGACUACGACACAAUGGCGAUGGACGUCAGCCGGACAGUGUUCUUUGCAGGAGAG
rnacentral:misc_RNA from 1 species